AUUGUACACGAGACCUCGUCGUGCUUAGUCAGCCAUUAUCGUUGGGGUUUUCCUAGCAGACUACAUUUUCACCACUCGUCAUGAUCGCGCCAGUCCGCUGAGUACUUGUUAUUCUAACAUUUUUAUAUAUACAUAUGUUAGCCUGGGCAUUGAUGAACCCCCAGCUCGGGCGUAAAUUGGGAUGAUGAUUAGCAUUCCCCAACAGAGAUGAAAGCUUAUGAGCAGCUCGAUUGAUAAGCCCCAAGAUCUGUUCAUUACAACAGGCGGAAAAAAUCAAGGAAAAUAAAAACCCUCUAAAUCA